UGAUGCAAUGGAAUCAAUAUUAAUACACUAGAUCCCAUCAGAACUCUACAGCUAAACGUGCUUGAGCGAUAGUAGUACUGGGAUGAUGACCUCUUGGGAAGUCCUCGUGUUGUAACUCUUUAGAGAAGGGGGUGAACCUUAGCGC